UUGCAUUCUUAAACCCUCUUGGUUAGCUUCGUUCUAAAGGCUUCCAAGAUAUGAGUGAAUGCUAUAGAGAUUGCAGGGGAGUCCAAAGGGCUUUGCUUCUUCUGUGGCUCAGUCUUAUUUCAUACCUGCGACAUCU